rnacentral:misc_RNA from 1 species
AACGCACAUUGCGCCCUUUGGUAUUCCGAGGGGCAUGCCUGUUCGAGCGUCAUUUCAACCCUCAAGCUCUGCUUGGUAUUGGGCUUCGCCGUCGUGCGGCGGGCCUUAAAAUCAGUGGCGGUGCCGUCUCGGCUCCAAGCGCAGUAGCAUCAUCUCGCUCUGGAGACCUUGGUGGUUGCUGGCCAGCUAAACCCCCCCCUUUUUUUUCUCAUGGUUGACCUCGGAUCAGGUAGGGAUACCCGCUGAACUUAA